GAAGCCUACGCGUUGGCGUGGGAGGCCCCGCGUUCCCCUCGCCCACGGGUUGUUUUCCUUCGGAGGAAGGAGGUCGAACUCGUUACCAAAUUAUUUAGUUUUCGCUUGAGAGUUCUAGGGAGGAGGUGGGAAGAAGGCUGCUGAAGUCUCAGUACUGCUGCUAGACUCAGGUGAAGGGACUUCGGUUGCUUUUCAGGGAUCUCCGGUGAGGAAAAUGAGUCCCGUGAGUCAACACUUGCCAAGGAAGAGUAUUCUGCAAUUCUCCUACAAGAUAAAUGGAAAUUUACAAGAAAACCAUCACCUGUGACCUGCAGGCACAGCACAGGCAUAUCAAGCCUGUUUGGAACACCAGUGCAGAUCUUGAACUUGGGAACAUUUCUCAUUAUCUAGGCAGAUGACAUUGCAACAAGUCAAUUUAACACACUGGCCAUGAAAAAUCUCACUACUUGAUCACACUGCGAUAAAAGAUCUUCAGGUAUUACUUGAAGGGUGAGUGAUCUUAUACCGUUUGGAUUCUGACACCCCAUAUUAGGUUACUAUUCCAGAUUUUAUUUAUUUAUUUGAGAGUGAGCAAGAGAGUGAGAGAAAGAGAGAGAGAGAGAGAGAGAGAGCGCGCGCGCACCAGCAAUGAGGAGGGGCAGAGGGAGAAGCAGACUCCUGCGGAGCAGGGAGCCAGAGGCGAGGCUCGAUCCCAGGACGCUGGGAUCAUGACCUGAGCAGAAGGCAAACGCUUAACGGACUGAGUCACCCAGGCACCCCUGAUUCUAUAUUUCUUAUUACUCAUUGGUAAGGCCUGAUAUUUGAUUUUUUUAUUUAAUUAUGUGUUUGUAUUUCUCCAUUCUCACCAUCUCACCUGAUCACAUUUUGCCAGGUGAAUGGCUAGCAUCUGGGCAGUGUUUCUUACCAAGUAAGAGUGAACCAAUUAAUUGACACUUUUUUUUUAACAAGUAACAUUUGUGGCUUCAUUAAAAAUAAUUUAUGAAUAAUUCACAAAUUCUGAACAGAUAUUUCUCUAACAUAACAAAGGAAAAUAAUAUCCUUAAAA